rnacentral:lncRNA from 1 species
AUUAGUAUUACUUUUACUUGGAAUGAUAAUGCUUACCACCGUGGUUGGUGAAAGAAAUAGUAAUAAUUUUCGACAUUCUCCUAUGUUAGAUCCAGAAGAUGAUUGGCCAGAAAUUUUUCAUGAACAACUACCAUCCAACUAUAAAAUAUCUAAGAGGAGUCAUCAGAUUACGAGACAAACUUGUCAGAUGAAGCCAUCAACCACAUCGUUUGAGCCAGUCCACAUUGCAAAAAUUUCAUACCAUUACAAGUGAUCGAAGUGGCAAAAGUGGAUCUAGUAAAAUAAUAAGAACAAUUGUUUGUCGUAUGAAGUUUUAUUUUCUUUAUUUUUUCCUAUUCACCUUUAAGAACAACUGUCUAGUAAAAUAAUAAGAACAAUUUCCCCCUUUAUUUGAUUAAAGACUCUAUGAAGAUGUAUAUGUAUAAUAAUUACCUCUCAUUUCAGCAUAAAUCAUAUCAACUACCAAUGGUUUUAUCUAUGAUAACAAUAAUAAUGCCAAUUUGGAUUGAUAUAUACUCCAUCUAUCUCAAUUUAAUUGUCACUUUUACAAUUUUUUUUGUCUAAAUAAUUUUUUUUAGAGGUCUAUCUCAAAAUAAUUGUCACUUUAUAAUAUUAAUGUAGUAUUUAUUAUUUUUCCAGUGAUAAAUCUUUAUUUGUUGAAUUUCAACAAAUUUAACUACUACAACUAAUAAAAGUGUUUUUCCCUCAAAAAUAAUAAUUAAUAAAAGUGUUUUCAUAUAUGAUACUAAUUGUAUCAUUGAAAUCAUUUUAAUUAAUCACUUUCUUAUGAACCGCGUACAACCUAAAAACGACAAUUAAAAUGAGAUAAGUUGUAAAAAAUAAAUUUUUUUGAUUAAAUUUAUCCGACAUUUUAACUUUAAAAUUUAUUGAAUCAUCAUGAGUUAAGAUAAGGCAGGAUCAACUCAUUGACCUGGAAUAUUUGUAUGCUUAAAUUCAUCUUUUUGUAAUGAUGGAGUGCUAAAUGGUAUGGUGUAGUUUCGGAGAAGACCAUGCGAAAAAUAGUAAUGAGAACAACUAUGUUCAAACUAGAUUAUUUUGUGAUUGUGUUAUGCUUUUUAUAAGUUUAAUUGAUUCUCAGGGCAUAGUUGUUAUAAAUGUUUUAGUGAGAAAAAAUAGAACAAAACAAAAGGUUCAACCACGACCAAACUCACAAAGCGCAAUACGAGAUGUGCAUCGCAAUAUUCGAAGGAAUUGACCUAUGUCCAGUCUCAUAUCAACUCGUAUCACGCACUAUGAUUAGCACACCAUUAGGUCAUAAGGAAUUAUAAGGUGUUUGCUCUCACACAACUUGCAUCGCAACAUAAAGACCCCACAUUGAAGGCUAAUUAUUCUGAAAAAGUAGGAAAACACUCAUAUAAAUAGUGAAUGAAGGUGAGAAAAAUUCAAGAGAUUUUUCCAGCAUAAAUAAAUCCUGAUUACAACAUCAACAUUAUGACAACCUAGUCAUAGAUUUUCUUUCCUUAACCUAGAGGACUUCUUGAUCUCAAACCAAAGAUUUAAAACAAGAUAUUACAAUAGUUGCGUUUACAUAAACUUUAGGAGUAGUAAACAUAUGUAAGCACAAAAGACUUAAAAGUGUAUCUAAUGACUUUCUAUGACUCUCUAUAGACAAGCUAUACAAUCAACAUAAUAUGAAUAAAGUAUGUAUAUAAUAUAUUCUUAUGUAUGUAUGUAUAUCUACAUGUAGGUGUGUACGUGCGAAACCUUCUUUAGUCAUAGCUUGUUCCUUUAUAAAGAGAUGAAGCUUGAUGAUUGUUGCCGAAGAAUUAACCGUGUCUUUGAAUGUCUAAUUGAAUUUUGAGAUAUUUUGAUUAAAUAUAUUCGUUGAAUCAACAUUUCAUUUCCAUCAAUGAUGCUCUUAAUAAUUUUUUCUCAAUUGCAUUAGUCAGAACAUUGUUUCCUUUCUUAGCGAAGAGUCAUUGCAUGCAUCAAUGAUGUAUCCUUAAGUUAUCUUGUUAAUGCAAAGGAUCUGAGUCCAGAGGCUUGAAGCACGUAGAAUUUACUCCUAUAAAAUUUGAGCUUGAUCUUGAUACAGAGUCUUGUUUUUAUCUACAACAAAUAGAUUCACUUCAAUGUCUAGAGAGUUGACUAGUAGCCCAUAUUGUUGACUUGGUCUAGAGGCAAAACUUCAUAACACGCCCCAAUCAAACUCUCUGCCUAUCCUUUAAUAAUCCAUAUAAAGGCUUAAAAUACGACUUAAGAUCGCCUACACCUUACUCUCGCUUAGUAAACUAGAAUCACUCCACUAAUUAAGACUUACAUCGCUCAUAUGUAAUUGAAUACUACCUAAUAUACAUUCCCUGAAGUAUCCUUCACAUUAGCAUUUAUAGCUAUCUAUCUAAAACAUUAUCCACCAGAUGGUUAUCACCCCAGUUCGUAACUAACUUAAAUCACAUCCAUGAAUUUGUCAUAACUUAUUCACUGACAACUAAGCUUUCAAGGUCGAACUGAGAAUUCUCAACCCAUACUACCAUCCUUAUUGGUAAAUCCUCAAUACUGAACUCAUGUCUCAUAUUACUUCAACUUAUAUCUAGAACUAAUUUAACUCCAAGGUUGCCGUCUUAACGUUUAACUUCUUAUCCCGAAGACUAAAACUCCCCUUCCGAAAUGGCACCAGCUGUGAAACAUAUUUGAGAAGCCGGGGUGUCUCUCCCACUUGUUUUUUCCCUACACGCAACUUCCUGUUGAACUUCCACUCUCCCAUAUUAGUUGAAACGUCACAAGGCUUACAUGACAAAACAAGGGGUAAGAAAUCCUGCCAUAACAUAAUAAUAGGGAAAAACAUGCAUAUUAAAUAAAUAUCAAAAUAAUAUAAUCUCCAACAUAUCUCCACUCUCAACAAUUAUUAUGUAUAAUCUCUUCUUUUCACAUAUCACAUCAGCACAUCAUUUUCACACUGAAAAAACCCCCAAGCACAAACAUCAUCAUAUACAUGCAUAUGGACUCUCCUAUAGACCUAUAUUAAUGUGGUACCACACCUACUCAUUAUUUCACCAGAGUUAUGUUACUAGAAAUUCACUACAUAAAUUUCUAGAGGUAUAUGUUACUGGACUUUCAUUGCAUAAUAUGUCAGAUGUAUAUAAUACUGGACUUUCACUGCAUAACAAUGCAAGACAUCAUGCUCUAGACUCUACAUGGAAUCAUAGAAUUAAAAUCAACAAGUAUUACAAGUAUACACUUAACACCUAAUCCACAUAGUAAUGCAAGAUUCAUCCUACGAUGCACAACUCUAAUGCAAGCACACAAAACAUCAUCUCCACUCUCAUCAUCAUCAUCAUCAUCAUCAUCAUCAUCAUCAUUAUCAUCAUAGAUAAACAUCAUCACUCUCACUAUCGGCAUAACUUAACCAUUAACGCUCUCAUCAUGACAAAAACAUAGACAUCAUCAUUGUCAUUGUUAUUAUAAUAUAACAUCAUCAUUUGCCAUCAUGGUAAUUUCUUUACAUAUAUAUAAUAUGAAUCGUCAUCACUCUUUGUCAUAGUUGUAGGACUCCUCUUCAUUAUUCUCUAUCAUAUGUUUAUAUCACAACCUUAUCUCUUCAUUAAUCAACACCUUACGCGUGACUCAUUUGACGUCAACAUCCCUUUAUUCUAUUUUAUUAUUCAUCUUACAGACGUACUAUAUUCUCUCAUCUAUUCUAGGCCCUAUAUAUACUUUAUUCUGAUAUCAUACCCUAUUCAUCAUUCUUAGCCUUAAGAUAUUUAUUUGUUCAUUAUCAUUAUAUACAAAGUCUCCUGUCUUUACAACUAGGUCCUACCUCACCAUCGUCAUUAACUCCUUCAUACUGAUUCUUCUCAAUAAAAAUAAUUUAUAUCUUAUUAAUUUGUUCUCAUAUUCAUAUUCAUAUAUGCAUCGUCCAUUCCCCUAAUCUUAACUUCAUUCUAAUUUAGAGUUAUUAUCUCACCCUAUCAUUAAUUUCGACUUCAACAACUUUCCUCACUACGACUCCAUUCUAAUUAAAGGUUUUAUUCUCUCGAUACUGGUCAUUAUUAUCAUCGUCUAACCUUAUAACUAAUAUUUCUUAUCUUCUUUCCUACUAAUUUUUCUCUCUUUUAAUAGAUUCACAUCUUAUUCUUUCCCUAUCAAUAUUCCUAUUAACUUAUGUUACUAAAUCUAAAGAAAAAAUCAUUGAUCGAUGUUUAAGGUGGAGGGAAGGGCAUGUAAAGAAGGAUGAAGUGGUUGAUGAAAGUGUGCAAAAAUUAUAUGAAGAAUGUGAAAGAAUUAUUUCUAUUUUGAUUCUGAAAAUUUAUUGUUACUUCAAAUAAAACUUGUGUAUUUUUUUUACAACCGUCUUAUUUUUUCCGUACUACCAUAUAUUAUUUCAGGUGACUCUAUCUCAAUCUUUUCAAACUUCUAGCUGUAGGGACAUACUUAGUAAAACAUUAAAUGUCCGUGAGUAUCCUAAAACAGUUCUUAAUGAAAGUCAAAAGAAGAGUGAAAAAAAUCCAAGUUCUAAAGAAUUAAUGGCCAAUAUUUAAAAGUUAGAAUCUGAAGUUCAUCAAUUGAAAAAGGAAAAGGGAAAAGAUAUGUCAGGAAGUCAACAUGAUAUGCGUAUCCUUAGUUACAAAGAUAGUUCCAACAUUUAUUUAUAUAAGAACAUUCCCGAGGUAUUUAAUUACUUGUAUAUAUUUCAUUUAGUAAUUUGCUAAUUAUAUUUGUUAUUAACUUUUUGUUGAUUAUUGGUUUAGGGUAUAUCACCUCUUUCAAUGUACCUGUUGUCUCCUACUUAUCGCAUAAUCUCUAAGGGAAGGGUAAACACUAUCUUGGGAGAUAAACUUCACUAUAAGUCACUCCUUGUUGGCUAUUUGAAAGUAUUAAUUAAUAUUGCUUUAGAACAGGAAGCAGGGUUGUCCAUACCUAAUGAUGUUGCUGAUAUAAGCUUGGUUGGAGAUGCAAUAGAAUCAUAUGUGGCAUGGCCAAGAAACCUCAUUUCCCUAAAUCUUGAGGUAAAGUAAAAUAAAUAAAUUAUUCUCUAUGAAAAAAUUGGAGUUUUUUUUUUUGUUUUUUUUGUUUUACUUUGUUUAUGUGUGGUUUUUGGUAUAAAUGUUUAGUUUAUUAUUUUAUCACUAACUCAAUCAGUUACACAUAGAUUCCUGCAACAUACAAAGACAAUGGUAAUGUCGAGAUUAGGAAGGGUGAUGAGUCGGUCACAUAAAAAAAAAACCUAGGUAUAUUGAUACACAAGAAAUGUUCAUUUUACUAUUCAAUCAUUUAUUAAUCAUUAGCUAAUUUAACUAUACAAUAAAUUAGAUUCAAACACAUAAAUUGCGUGAAGGCAGUAAAAUCAUGAAGGAUAAACCAAGAAAUAUGGCAGCUCAAACACAAAAAUUGAAAGAAAACACUAAUUGUAAGAAGGUUUGACAUAGCUAUAUUCAAAUCAUAAAACAAAAACAAGAUAUUGAAAAAACCAAACAUCAAAAGCCUUCCUCUAUAAAGUGUCAUUCAUCAUGUGUGUUAGUUCUAAAAUCCCUUGUAGAAAUGCAAAUGGAAAACACAGAUACGCGUCAGAUAACUAUGGAUGAAGGUAUUUUUGGUGAACAAUAUGAACAAGACAUUAUCAAAGAGCAACUGAAUGAGUUUUUUGAAAAUACAGAAAUAAGUGUCUCUGUUGUCUGUGUAUAUAUCAGGUACUCCGAAUAGCUUUAAAUUGACCUACAAAUUAUUUUAUUUGUAUGAAUGAAAUAUUUAAUAGUAUCUAAUAUUAUAUUUUCAUUCUAGGUACUUGUAUGAAAAAUUUGUGCACGACAGUGAUUUCACAAGGAAAUUCUCCUUCUUGUCCGCCAUCGCAUAUCCUUGAUGUUAAUUGAAGCAGAACAAGAAUUGGUCAAAGAAUACAUGGUUAAGGAAUUCAUGAAAUAUAAAGAUGAGCACAAGUUAUUUAUUCUACCGUUUUAUAUACAUAUGUCUGGAUAAGAUUUUCCUUGAAACUUUGUUUUUGAUUAUUUUUUUCUCACUUUUUAUCACCGUUUAUAGAAGAUUUUCUAACUUGAACAUUUGUGUAGUGGACAUUGGGUGUUAUUUGUCAUUGAUCUCAUAUCGGAAAUCAUAUAUUAUCUGAAUCCAUUACUCAAUGACUAUAUGAAUUACCCAAAAAUGACGACUAUGUUUCACACGUAAGUGUGUGUGUGGUAUAUAUAUAUUUUUAUCUUGCAUAUUUAUUUUUUCGCAGACUUUAGAAUGUAUAUAUAGGCUAAAUGUAAAUCAUUCAUGUGUGCGUGUGUGGGUGUAUGCUUUAUUUUUAUGCUUCAUAGUUUAGUUGUAAAUAUAAUUCAAUGUGAAUAACCGAAAACCACAAAAAAACAUUUUUUUUUACAAUAAACCUUAAUUCAAAAAUCAAGUGAUCCUUUUUUUAUUUUUUCUUAAUCAAAUGUUUAAUCAAUUUAAUCUUUACCAUGAGUCCAUUUUCUUUAAUAUUAAAAAACACAAACAAAUACUCAUUUGCAACUUUGGCUUUUCUUUCAUUCUAAAACCUUUUUCAAAACUAAUAAAAAACACAAAACAAAUCAAAAGUCAAUUUUUACCCGAAACUACGAGGUUUUGAUCCCUCAUGGGUACGUAGGCAAAGGACCAUGUCCUUCCAAAUCAUAAAUAAUGUAGAUAAAUUAGGUCUCUAUUUUAAUCACUUUAAAUUCUUUUUUUCAAAAGUAAGCAAGUUUAUAGCACGAAAAAUAAAUAAAAUCAAGAGGUUCUCGUAGAGUACUACGAACAUAAAGGGUGCUAAUACCUUCCCUUUAUGUAACCAACCCCCGAACCCAAAAUCUUUUCAACGUGGGGUGGUUUGAACUUUUUUCCCCUUUUCUAAAAAAUUAAAUGUUCAGUCGUGAAAUAAAAAGUGAGUCAAACACUAAUAUAAUAGCCCUGAUCUCCAAAAAAUGACGCGACAAGUAACAUGGUUAUAUUUUAUGUUAUAAUAUAUGGAGUACAUUGACGGUUUCAAAUGUUUGACAUAUUCUAAAGAUAAAUUAAUAGAAAUCCAAGAAAAAUGGUGUUAGUUCAUGAUCAGUCUAAGAGUUAUAUGUUAUUUUUUUGAUAAGGCGAGCUUCAUGUUUCUAAAUAUAUUUGCUAGAAGUGGUAGUGCCUUUAAUCUACAUUAUAAUCUUGCAUUAAUUUGUUAUGAAUAGUGCUGGAAUAAAGAUAGAUAUAUAUAUAUAUAUAUAUAUAUAUAUAUAUAUAUAUAUAUAUAUAUAUAUAUAUAAAGAAGAAUAAGAUGUGUGAGUUGAUAUAUAUUAAGAUGAGUAUUAGCCAUUGAUCCAAGUGUUUGGUUUGCUAUUUGAAAAAUGAAAUAGUAUUUGGUUGUUUCACUUGUUUUGUUUUCUUUAUUUGUUAAGUGAAUAAAUGUUUGGACUACGUAUUCUCGGCAUUUGUACAUGAGUACUUAUUGCUUAAAAUAGUGUUGAUGCUUAUUGCUUAAUGUGUUUUCUGCUAUAUAUGUAGGUGGAGGAGAGUUAACGAAAUUUGGAAAUGAAUAAUGAUCUACCUGCUUGUUAUGGAUAAAAAUGUUGAGACGACCAAGAAGAUAGAUGAAGACUGCAUGCUACCACAAAAGAUUUUGGUCUUUAUGUUAAUUAAUUAGUUGUAACUUAGAGAUAUCCAUGAUUUGUAGCUUCGUUUGUUAGUGGCUACAUUUCAGAUUUUUAUGCUAUAUAUACAUACAUUUUAUGAUAUGUUUAAGUUUUAUUUCACAAAUAAUAGUCUCAAUUAUAAUGUGUCAUAUUUCUCUUAGAUAAAUUAUAUAUAUAUAUAUAUAUAUAUAUAUAUAUAUAUAUUAAUUUAAAUUAAUAAAAACUCUAUUUGUAAAAAUAAAAUAUUAAAAUGCUUUUUCUAACGCUUAUUUAAAUAAAACGUUGUUUAAUCUACACAUUAUAGCAAUGCUUAAUGGAAUAAAGCGCUAUCUAAACCUAUUGUUACAAAGCUGUUUUUAGUAGCACAUAAAGAUAGAAGCGUUAUUUUAAACCUCCUUUAGAUGGCUUGUAUUUCUGUAAAUGCUAUCCAAGGACACCCUUUGAUAGCUAUUUUUAACAAAAAGAGCUAUAUAAACCCUGCUUUAGACAACACUUUAUAAAAAAAACAAGCACUAUAUUACAUUUACCAGCGCCAUUUACCAUAGCGCUUUUAAAGUGCUACAAAUGGUCCGAAAAAUCGCUAUCUAUGACCAUUUUUGGCAUAAUGUCUCCUCUCAUAUUAAUCCUCAUAUUACAUCAUUACUUUUCAAAACUCUAUUUCUUUUAGAAUAAUAUAAUAUUAAAUAAAAGUGCAUCAUCAUAAUCCUAAAUAAGACUCAACCUAUUUUAAUAUUAUUAAAUUAAUUGAUUAAAAAUUUGGGGUNAAUAAUAUAAUAUUAAAUAAAAGUGCAUCAUCAUAAUCCUAAAUAAGACUCAACCUAUUUUAAUAUUAUUAAAUUAAUUGAUUAAAAAUUUGGGGUAUGUACAUGUUCAUCUAGGGAGUCUUCUACAGUGCCUACCAAAUCCAUGUUUCUCUAAUCCGUCGGGUGAAUGGACCAUACGACGCACGAUCGUCAUCAAAAUAUGACAAAAACAAUUAGCGUCUUAUAUGCCUUAGGGAGUGGGGUUACCUUCUACUCGGAGAACUCCUAGGAGAUCUUAUUUUUGGAGAAUGUCUAGGAGAACUUAUGUUCAGAGAAUGUCAAGGGGACCUGGAUCUUGAUGGAAGGGUAUUCCUUCCCAUGCUGCUAAGAUGUGGGGAAGGAGGUCGAAAAAUUGAACGAGGAUAUGGUGAUCUCCUCAGUAAUCCUUGGAGUGGGGAUCCUUCAUUUAUUUGAUUUGUCGGUUCUGAUCCUUAAUCAUAUAAUUUUUGCGGUGUAGGGUUUGAAGGAUGUUGUUGAACAUGACAUCUACGGGAGAUGUGUUGCUUGCUUCCUUGUUUGGCCACGAGGGGACAAUUAGUGGAGCCUCUCGAAGGGAACUCGCCAUUGAUGGGACACGAUGGUGCACUCGUCAGUUGGUGAGGGAGUUAAUGUUUGACCGUCACGUUGUGGACGGUGGAUCUCACUCUUGGGAUGCUGCAACGUUGGCCAUCGUAAGAGUAGGUUCCUUUUAGGAAAUUUAUGAAGAUUUGGUCUUUUAAGUAGGAAAAUACGAUACCACUAAUUGUACCUUAUAAGAUGAUGACGUAUGAUGCAGUAGUCUUUGGCUGUUUGUGAGAUUUAAAACGACCAGGGGGGUGUACAUGCAAACACUCUUACGCUCAAGUAAGUUUAAGAUGGUUAGAGAUAGAAAUGGUAUCAUACCUUUGGGGAUUGUGUAAAGUCAUCUUCUAUAAAGGUGACGGGCAUGAGUCGUUGUAAGGCACAAUGAGGCAUCUGACGGUUACAAAUUUCCAGGAAUCGUUAUCGUCGAGCGAGAAUCGUGGGCAUGUUCUACAUUCAGUUUGAAUGUGUCUUACACCCUCCUCGCAGAGAGAGGGUGUGUGUCGGAAGUAAUCGACCAAAAUGCAAGAUUGGGCCUGUUUUGGUUAGGGCAUGUACAAAUAAGCAUUACACAACUGCUCAGUCCGGAACAUAUUUAAUAUAAAAAGAUCAAUAAAAAAUGAGGCAUGCUCUAAGGAAUCAAUUCUAAAUGACGUGAAAUCUUAGCAAUGUACAUUUAGUUGAACCUAAAUACAUGAAAACUAUCAUGCAAAUUCAAGCUUCGAACUUGAAGAAAUCCAUAAAAGAAUAAUGUAUUGUGAUUAGCAAAGCACAAUCACACACAUCUCGAUUGUUCGAUUAAGGAUGAUCCAAUUCUUAAAAAAAUUAUUAUUUAAUAUAAAACUAGAGUUCGUAAAGUAGACUGUCCAAAAUCAAGAUGUAGUGAUUGUGUGCAAUCAUAUAAUCGUGACUACACCUAAUCUUGAUGUAACAAUCAUAGCUUAUUACCCCAUCGCUUCCUUAAUAUAAGAAGAAAACCCAAAAAAUUUCAAAACUAAGGCAAUCAUUAAUUGUUGUAACUUUUUAAAUAUUUUUACAAAUAUACUAUUAUAAAAAAUCUUUUACGUAAUAAAUACACCAUAAAAGUUAUGACUUUUUUUAUAAAUAGAAUCAAUUUUUUUUUUUGAAAAAUUUCUUACUAGAGAGAGUAAUUUUGUUUAACAAUAAAGGUUAGUUGUUACUCAAAUGUGCACAAGUUGAUCCGAUAAUAACGUAAAAACAACUUACAAGACAUGAAGUCAAAUAUGUAUUUAAAAAGAUAAAAAUAUAAUUAACGUGUGCACAAAAAUAAUCUUGACGAAUGCCUUUUACCCUUUUGUGAUUUCAGUUGGACAUUUUUAUUACUAAAGUAUAAUAGAAUAUUUUUUUUGACAAAAACAUAAUAAUAUAAAUUGAUGACCCUGUUCAAAAAAAAUAUAAAUUGAUGACCUCAACGCAAAAUAUUCUUAGGUGUUUUUCUAUAAAUAGUUGUUUCACUCUUUCCAGUGUGUCAAUCAAAAUUUGAUCAAAAUAUGAGCUCUAAAUAUUCAUUAGUAUUACUUUUACUUGGAAUGAUAAUGCUCACCACUGUGAUUGGUGAAAGGAAUGAUAAUAAAUUUGAAUAUGAUCCUAUGUUAGAUCCAGAAGAUGAUUGGCCAGAGAUUUUUAAUGAACCGCUACCAUCCUACUAUAAAAUACCUAAAGAGGAGUCACCUGAUUAUGAGACAAACUUGUCAAAUGAAGCCAUCAACCACACCGUUUGAGCCAGUCCACAUUGCAAAAAUUCCUUACCAUUACAAGUGAUCGAAGUGGCAAAAGUGGGUCUAGUAAAAUAAUAAGAAAAAUUGUUUGUCAUAUGAAGUUUUCUUUUCUUUAUUUUUUUUUCUUCCUAUUUACCUCAAAAAUUCUAUUUUUCAAGUAGUGAAGUACAAUUUGCCCCUUUAUUUGAUUAAAGGCUCAAUAAACAUGUAUAUGUAUAAUAAUUACCUCUCAUUUUAGCAUAAAUAAUGUCAACUACUAAAAGUAUUAUCUAUGAUUACCACAAUAAUGCCAAUUUGGCUUGAUAUAUACUCCAUCUAUUUUUCCUCAGAAAAUAUACUCAAUCUAUUUCCAAUUUUAUUGUCAUUUUUAUAAUUUUUCUUUGUCUCAAUAUUUUUUUUAGAUUUUUCUUAAAAUAAUUGUCACUUUAUAAUAUCUAUGUCAUUUCCGGUUUUCGCCCCUAUAAAAUUUUCGGUUUGAUUUGCACUUUUGUAAAUUUUUUAUUUUCCGGAAAACACCCUUAAUAGGCCAUUCAAAAAUCAAAAUUUUUUGCAAAAAAAAUUCUGAAAAUGGCAUAUUAGGGUGUUUUCUGGAAAAUAAAAUUUUUACGAGGGUGCAAAUCAAACCGAAAAUUUUAUAGAGGUGAAAACCAAAAAUGACAUAUAUUACAGGGGUGAAAAACACUAUUAACCCUUAUUUUUUUCAUUGAUAAAUCUUUAUUUUUUGAAUUUCACCAAACUUAACUACUACAAUUAUUAAAAGUGUUUUGAUAUAUGAUACUACUUUUAUCAUUGAGAGCAAUGAGACAACCUAAAAACAACAAUUAAAAUGAGACAAAUGAUAAAAAUUAAAAUUUAUUGAUUAAACUUAUCCGACAUUCUGACUUUAAAAUUUAUUGAACCAUCACGAGUUUACAUAAGGUUGGAUCAACUCAAUGACCUGAACUUGAUCUGUUCGGUGAGAACGGUUGAGUCGCAACGGUUGUGAAGAAUGGUCCCAUGAUCGGUAACGACUUCCAGUGCGGUGGCGUAGCAUCUUAUGUGAUGGAACGAAAGGUGCCUGCAGACACGUUUGAAUUCCGACAAUCAAGUCAGUAAUGGAACUGAGAGAAAAGUUUUAGAAGUGUAGUGAAAAGUGUUGUGUACCUUGAGGGUAAAGCAAGUACACCCUUAUAUAGGCCCGCUCUUGGCAUGACCGUCUCCGGGUUAUGCGGCAUAUGAUUAAGAGCGGGAGUGGACAUGUGUAGCGUGAUCCCGACAGGGAAGCAUGGUCCAAUGUGGCAUGCCGCAGGCGAAUUGGCGUGCUCCUUUGAGUGCGAAGCCUUGAGACUGCGUAAUAUUGCACAUUUGUUGCCGUGUGAGUGGUCUAGAACUGAGCUAUUUUAUUUUUAAAUUCAUCUUUUUUUCAUGAUAGAGGGCUAAGUGAUUUGGUGUAGUUUCGGAGAAGAUCAUAUCUAUACUAUAUAUAAAGAAAACUACCUCUUUCAGCUCUUUUGGGUUGGAUUUUCUUUCCAAAAAUUCCCUCAAUUUUCAAUACAAAUAACACAUGUAACAAAUAGAUCAAAAUAAAUUUAAAUAUUAAAAUAAAAGUGUAACAAACAUAAAUGUUCAAUUUUUUACUUUAUCAUUUAAAAAGUGUAACAAACUAGAUGAGUGUAUCCAUACUUAUUUUUUCAUUAUCCCAAUUACAUUCCCUUAAACAACAACUUUUUCUAUUCUCUAAAAAAACAACUUUUUCUAUAAUAAAGAUUGUUGUUGGUUUCAUUAAAUAAAUACUCCAUCCGUUCCUUUUUAAGUGUCACUUUUGCAGAAAUUUUUUGUUCCUAUUUAACUGGCACUUUCAAAGUUCAAUGCAACAUUAAAUGUUGUUUUACCAAUAUUAUCCUUAGUUAUUUAUUGCGGAGAGAGAAAUAUAUGAAAUGAGAUAUUAAAUGAAUAAGAUCAUUAUAGUAAAAGUAUAGCUUAUUGCAUUAAAAGGAAUAUCAAUUGUUGAUUGUCUUGAUUUCGUAACUCGCGAAGCGUAUUACGAAAUGUGCAUCACAGGAUCCUGAGGAAUUGACCUAUGUUCAGUCUCGUAUUAACCCCCGUCACGCACUAUGAUAUCAUCCUUUAACGAUAUCAUCAACAUAUAUAUUAUAUCAUCAACAUAUAUAUGAACAAUUAAAAUUUCAUCCUUUAAUAAUUUUCAAAAGAGUGUGAUGUCAACUUGAUCUUGUGAAAACCGUUUUCUAAAAUAAUGUUACUAGGGUCUUUCAUACCAAGCUAUGGCAGCUUGUUCCAGAUUAUACAAUGAAAUCUUCAAACUCAGGAAGUUGUUUCAUACACUUCUUCAGAAAUGAUACCUAUAAAAUACGAACUUAUAAAAUCCACUUGAUAUAGAAUGAUAUCAUUAUUUACAACACAUGAUAAUAAUAGACUAAUUGCUUAUAAUUUUGCUACAUGUGCAAAUGUUUCAGCGAAAUCUAUCUCUUCUUGCUGACUAUUUCCUUGUACUACUAGUCUAGCUUUAAUUUUUACUAUAUCAUUUUGUUUAUUGAGCUUGUUUCUGAAAACCCACUUUAUGACAAUGACAUUAUUACCUUUUGAUCUUGGAACUAUUUCUCAAACAUCAUUUCACUUUGAUAAUUGUGCCCUACAAAAUUCCACUAGUCUUUUUAUGACUUCCGAUCAUAACAAGUAGUAUUUACUAUUUUUACAGAGGCUUUUGUGUCAGUUAUUUAGUUUGCUUGAUGCUUGUUUAAGAGUUAUUUUGAAUAAAUGGUUCUUAUGUUACAUAAGGUUUUUAAAAUUUUAUCUUCUUAAUUAACCUUAUAUUUUACCGUAUCCUCAUUGUGUUUAUUAGGUUUAGAGCUAAAAUAAUUUUUGUUUAAAAAAUAACAUGAACUCUAUGUGAUAUUUUAUUUUUUAAUGAUAUCUUGAGCUGUAGGUAACCAAAUGGAGUCAAACUAUUUCCGAAUGAAAUCUAACAUUAAUUGAUACAAGUUUUCAUAAAUAUACUAAAGUCGAAUUCGGCUUGUAAAAUGGUAAAAAAUGUAAAGGAUCUGAAUACAAAAAAGGAAACAAAGAAGAAGUGGAGAUUCAAUCCCCUCAUGUGUAAUUUUAUAUUUUCCUUUCUAAGUCUGAGUAGCUAACUUUUCUUCAGAUUGAAACUCUUGAUUAGUGAUGUCAAUUUUCUAGCAAGGGUUAGUUCGUUGGCAAGUAGUCAAAUAUAUAAAUUUCUUAACCUAAAGGUUUGCAAUACUUCAACUUGACUGCUACGAUUAUGAUUAAGAUAUGUAAGAGAUAUUAUGAUUAAGAUAUGUAGUUUGGGGGGGGGGGAUUAAAAGGCGACGAGGUCAUAUCAUAUUCCCUUGAUUGAUUGCUCAAUUUUAAGACAUCUGAUCGAAUUAGUCAGGCCAGUGUCUUGGUAACUAACACUCUUCAAUAGUUAUGACUCCCUAAUGUCUUAGGUUAGUCUAUAACCAUUGAAGGAUUAGUAAUGCCAAAUUAAGUACAUAAAUCAUUAUUAGAAAAUUUCUAAAGCUAAUAACAACUGAAUGAUUAAAUUAGGUCAAGCCAUUAACGUUAGGGUUAGUAACCACCAAGACCUAAAUCAAUUUAUAAACAUUUAUAAAUGCAUAAAAAAACAUUAAGGAUAAACUCAACCAAUAAAAUAACAAAGUAGACAACUGAAGUCAUAUGAUAAUGUAAAGUUACAAAAUCAAACGAUUACAGAGAAGUUCCUCUUUUAUGACCUAACCCCGAUAGAAUUAGUUACUCGUUAUUUCUAAACAUAAACUACUGCAUAUGAAUAAGAAAACAUGAGAAAAGGAUCACCAGUUGAUGAAUCCAUGGCUCUCAAAUGGAUCUGAUCGCUCCGAUAAUAUGCUAAAAUCGUGUUUCUGCCUUCAUAUUCUCAUCAAAAAGUGUUUUUUCACUGACCAAGGUGUUUGCCUUAUAUAGGUGCGUAUUUUCCUUAAAAUUAGUGAAAGUUGGCCCGCGAUGUUAGCAUAUAAAUUGCGAUGUUAGUUAAACAUAGAGUGAACACCUUGCAUGUCAUUCAUAUCUCACGAUGUGGAGGUUAUAGCCUGCAAUACGAGAUAGAUAGUGGCUGAAUCUUACAAAUUCCAUUUUGAUUCUACAAAUGACUUAAAACUUCUAUAUAAUUUCAUAUCAUCAAUGAUCCUCUUAGAAUCUAAUUGAGUUAUUUUAUUUAUGAGUUCUAGUUUAUGCAAUUGAUACCCAUGUACAUUCAAUAAUUCUUGUUAUUUAAUUGUGAUCUUACCAAUAUUGAAUUGAACCUAAGGUAUUUAAUUAUGGAUAAUUGGUUGUUUUGGUUGUUUGUAUGACUCUAUGUUUGUAAAGUAGUUCUUUUGGCACACCUUAUGCUAGAGGAGUUGCUUUUGGUGGUUAAUAUAUAUUCCAUUUUUGAUUGUUAAAAAAAAGUUAUUGUUCGCUAAGUAAUUGUCUUAGAGAUAUCAUAUCAUUUAGCUGUGACAAAAUUUAGUUGCCGAUCAUGCUUUUGAUGUUAGAUACGCGAGACCUGGCUUGAGUAAAAAAAAUUGGUUUUGCUAUAUUUUGCUAAAUUGUCGGAAACAUAAUCAAUUGUUACGGCUAGUACCACUAUUACCAAAUAGUAACAAAGAGGGGUUAUUGCCAUCAGUUGUUUCAUUUAAUUUACCUAAUUAAGUGGAACAUAAUUGCCAUGGUUUAGAACUGGGGUUAUUGCUUUAGGUUUUUCAAACGGUUUUUAAAGUCUCCUUAUUGGAGAUGCUUUCUCUAAGGUACAUUAGUUCGGCAUAAAACAUGAUGAAAUUCAUAAAACAUUAACGGAUAAGAUUAGUGUUGUGUAAUCAUUGAGACGAUCCAGAUUUUAAAACCUUACCUUUUAAUCCAAAAUUAGAUUUUAGAUAUGGAUCGUCCGAAACCGAGAUGUUAUAAUUGCGUGCAAUCAUAAGAUCAUGACAACACCUAACCCUAAUCUAAUAAACACCAAGAAUGAUAUAUAUAUAUAUAUAUAUAUAUAUAUAUAUAUAUAUAUAAUACCGUUUUUGCUUAUAAAUAGGAACCAAGGGAUAAGAUAUGGAUUUUUUUUUUUUUUGAGGGAGGAUAAGAUAUAGAGUUAAACAUGUAUAAAAUGGUAGAAAUGUGCACAAAAAUAAUCGCAACAAAUGCACACUACCCUUUUGUGACCUCAUUUGGACCAUUUUUAUUACUAAAGUAUAAAAUAUGAUAAAUAAUUUAAGUUGACGUGCUCAACAUUAAAUAUUCUCAAGGGUUUUCUUAUAAAUAGUUGUCUCACCCUUUCCAUUUGUGUGAAUUAAAAUCUAUAAAAACAUGGCCUCUAAAUACUCACAAGUAUUAUUACUUCUACUUGGAAUGAUGGUUCUUACUACUGUAGUGAGUUAUGGGCAUAAUAAAUUUGGGUAUGCGCCAAUGUUAGAUCUAGAGGAGGAUUGGCCAGACCAAUUCUUUCCACCACUUACCAUAAUUGAGGGUCGAAAGUCGCAUAGUUUUGGAUAUCCACCUAUAUUAGAUCCAGAAGAAGAUUGACCUAAUAACUAAUGAGAAAUCAUUUGUUUAUAAGCCAGUCCACAUUUCAAAGCUGUUGUAAGUACAAUUCUUUAUCAAAUGAGUGUUUUUUUCUUCCCACUUUUGUAUAAAACUCUAAUUUUUAAGAAGUGAUGUACUAUUUGAAUAAAGGCUCUAUAAAUAUUUCUAUGUAUAUUAUAUCUCAUUUCAGCAACAAUAAUGCCUAUUACUAGUGGUUUUACCUAUGAUUAAUAUUUUGUUAUUGUCUACAAUUUAAUUAUUCAUUAUGUGAUAACUAAUCAAUAAUAUUUUUUUUGUCAAAAAAUAAUCAAUAAUAUUUGAACAUUCAUCAUUUCAAUACACUCAUUCAACAAAAUAUUUUCUUUUUGUCUAUAUUUUACAAUCACAUCAUCGAUAUAUCACCAAAAUAUUAUAUUUAACUUAUCACAAUAUUUUUUUUUUCAAGAUAUCCUAGUAAGAACGGAUAUAUCCAAAAACAUUUUUUAUAUUAAAAACCCAAAGAAAAAGAUCAAUUAGAUAACAGCUGUACGUCACAUGUUCUAGAACUAUAAACAUAAAAAUAUUCAAAUUAGUUAUGUGUAUCUAGAACAAAAGAUCCAUCUCCUUUUCUUAGACCAUCGAUAAGAUAAUCCUACCGUGGAGUAGAAAAUUUGAGAUUAAAUUGUAACAUCCUGAUUUUUAAUAUUAACCUGUUAAUAUAAUUAUUGGAUAAUAUUAGUAUUAUUGUCAUUAUUAGUAUUGAUUGCUCGAUAUUAUGAAAUUAAAUUAUUCGUGAUUAUAGGUGAUGUUAUGAAUAAUGAGGAAGUAGAGGAGUUAACUAGUUGGUUAAAGAAUGAGAGAAAAUAAUUUUUUUGGAAGAAAAUAGUGUUUUUGGUAAGAAUAAGGAAGUAGAAUGCAAACAGAGAUGCAUUAGUAAAAUUGGAUAGAAAAGAGGUGGAAGUAGCAAAGUGAUGGACAAAAUUGGCAAGUACACCAAAUUAUAACAAGUAGUAAGUUGUAUCGUUCUUCACAAAGAUUGUCGUUCAACUCAAUAUAUAAUUUGCAAAACUUAUUUUAACACGGAAAAUAGUAAUGAUGGUUAGAAUUGCAGGGUUUAAUUGCCCGACCCAAUGCAAGAUUAGGUUUGUGUGAUUCAGAUGUGUAAUAGUGAUUAGGGAAUCCGUGAAUCCCAUCUUCCUUCUUUGUUGGAUCAAUUCAAAGUCCUUAUUAAUUAAGACCUAAAAACUACAUAAACAAAGAACAAUAAUGAACAAAGUACUCCCAUGAACAAUUAUGAAUAAAUAAGAAAUAAGUACUCCCAUGAACGAAUAAUUUCAGGUUGUCAAUCAUACUAAUCUUCUAUGAAUCAAUUUUUAGGAUUACCUAUACAUAUUUUCAAUUGAAAAAUAAUUACGAACAGACUAGUACAAAUUAAAUCGGACACCAGAAUAUAACUGAAUGAAAACUUUAUUAGUUGAAUCUAACAAAUAAGAAGGGGUUCAUAGUUGAACCCUAAUCAAGAGGUUUAUUUGCUCAUGGAAACAUACAUCAUAACAAAACAAAAUAAAAACAUACCCUAGGAAGAGUACAAGGAGGAGAAAUUCCUCCUUGAAUCUAUGAUGCUUGACCCUUGCUCUAAACCGUCAAUGUUUCUGAAUGAAUAAAAUAGUGUGCAAGGAUCUCUAUUUAUAACGUAAGGUUGCUUAGGAUUUAAUUCGAGAAAACUAGGAUUUUCUACCGAUCCAUGUAUGCCUGGGUCUUCUGGGUUUAUUUCUGAAGGAAUUUCCCUUCUUUAGUCCCAUGCACUUUGGGUUUUGUUGCUCAGAUUUGUUCAAGACCUUUGGAUUGGAGGAUAAUCUUGAAUACUCUUUGAACUAAAAUUUGAGUCCCGGCUGGCCAUGAAUCUGAAAGUCCUUUGUUUUGACUUAGUCAACACCUUGGAUCUUGACUCUCUUGUCUCUGAUGGGUUUCGAUUCUCUGCUUUUUCAGCAUUUGGAUUUGAGUAAAAGAGCAGACCCUUUUGAGUGCAAACAGAACAUGAUAAUUGUUUUGUCUUGACAAGAGUAUGUGUAUCCCUAACAGACGCACUUGUGAAGUCAAUUUCUCUCCCUUUUUUCUUACUAAUAUUGUGAGGGGUUAAUAGAUCUUUACCCCCCUGUAAUAUAUGUCAUUUCCGGGUUUCCCCCCUGUAAAAUUAUUUUUUUGAUUUACCCCCUUGUAAUUUUUUUUUGUUUUGAUUUACCCCCCUAAUAGGCCAAACAAAAACGAAAAUUUCUUGAAAAAAAAUAAAAUUAGUUUUUGUUUGGCCUAUUAGGGGGGUAAAACAAAACAAAAAAAAAAUUGCAGGGGGGUAAAUCAAAAAAAUAAUUUUACAGGGUGGAAAACCGGAAAUGACCUAUAUUACAGGGGGGUAAAAACCUAUUAACCCUAUUGUGAGAUAUGGAAGCUAAUCUACUUCUGUCAAAAUCAUAAUCACUAGAUUCUUCAGAUGAACUAUUGAAUUUAGUUGAAAGUAUGUCGAUUUCAUCUGGGGUUAAAAGUUGCCUUAGCAUGAGAUUUUGUCUUGAUAGAUAGUGAUUUUGGCGUCUCAAAGGUUUUAACUCUUCUGAUAAAAAAUUAAAUUGUUUUUGCAAGUCCUUUAAGGAUCUUGAUUUGUUCAGAUAGAGUCUUAGAAGCCUUCUGACAUAAGGAAUAUACCCAUUACAGAUUUGUUCAAAGAUUACCUCAUCAUCCUUAUCUGAAUAUGAGCUUGGUUCUUCACCAGAAGAUGUUUUAACUACUAAACCCAUAUUAGCUUCCUCUUUGUUGUCCUCAGAGUCUGUAUCUUCAUCAAGCAUCUUCCAGGUUUCCAUGAAGAUUUCCUUGAGCUUUCACUUGUAGGUUUCCCUAUGCUGAUUUUCCCUAAUGCGCCUCAGGGAAAUCAGCUAUGAAGUGACCAUUCUUUCCACAGUUGAAGCAUCCUUUUUUAUUAUCUCUUUUGUCUGUGAAGUGGGAUGUCUUUAAGUCACUGCUUCUGCUAAAUGCUAUCUAAGGACACCCUUUGAUAGCUAUUUUUAACAAAAAGUGCUAUAUAAACCCUGCUUUAGACAACAGUUUAUAAAGAAAACAAGCACUAUAUUACAUUUACCAGCGUCAUUUACCAUAGCGCUUUUAAAGUGCUAUAAAUGGUCCGAAAAAUCACUAUCUAUGACCAUUUUUUGCAUAAUGUCUCCUCUCAUAUUAAUCCUCAUAUUACAUCAUUACUUAUCAUAACUCUAUUUCUUUUAAAAUAAUAUAAUAUUAAAUAAAAGUGCAUCAUCAUAAUCCUAAAUAAGACUCAACCUAUUUUAAUAUUAUUAAAUUAAUUGAUUAAAAAUUUGGGGUUUGUACAUGUUCAUCUAGGGAGUCUUCUACAGUGCCUACCAAAUCCAUGUUUCUCUAAUCCGUCGGGUGAAUGGACCAUACGACGCACGAUCGUCAUCAAAAUAUGACAAAGACAAUUAGCGUCUUAUAUGCCUUGGGGAGUGGGGUUACCUUCUACUCGGAGAACUCCUAGGAGAUCUUAUUUUUGGAGAAUGUCUAGGAGAUCUUAUGUUCAGAGAAUGUCUAGGGGACCUGGAUCUUGAUGGAAGGGUAUUCCUUCCCAUGCUGCUAUGAUGUGGGGAAGGAGGUCGAAUAAUUGAACGAGGAUAUGGUGAUCUCCUCAGUAAUCCUUGGAGUGGGGAUCCUUCAUUUCUUUGAUUUGUCGGUUCUGAUCCUUAAUCAUAUAAUUUUUGCGGUGUAGGGUUUGAAGGAUGUUGUUGAACAUGACAUCUACGGGAGAUGUGUUGCUUGCUUCCUUGUUUGGCCGCGAGGGGACAAUUAGUGGAGCCUCUCGAAGGGAACUCGCCAUUGAUGGGACACGAUGGUGCACUCGUCAGUUGGUGAGGGAGUUAAUGUUUGACCGUCACGUUGUGGACGGUGGAUCUCACUCUUGGGAUGCUGCACCGUUGGCCAUCGUAAGAGUAGGUUCCUUUUAGGAAAUUUAUGAAGAUUUGGUCUUUUAAGUAGGAAAAUACGAUACCACUAAUUGUACCUUAUAAGAUGAUGACGUAUGAUGCAGUAGUCUUUGGCUGUUUGUGAGAUUUAAAACGACCAGGGGGGUGUACAUGCAAACACUCUUACGCUCAAGUAAGUUUAAGAUGGUUAGAGAUAGAAAUGGUAUCAUACCUUUGGGGAUUGUGUAAAGUCCUCUUAUAUAAAGGUGACGGGCAUGAGUCGUUGUAAGGCACAAUGAGGCAUCUGACGGUUACAAAUUUCCAGGAAUCGUUAUCGUCGAGCGAGAAUCGUGGGCAUGUUCUACAUUCAGUUUGAAUGUGUCUUACACCCUCCUCGCAGAGAGAGGGUGUGUGUCGGAAGUAAUCGACCCAAAUGCAAGAUUGGGCCUGUUUUGGUUCGGGCAUGUACAAAUAAGCAUUACACAACUGCUCAGUCCGGAACAUAUUUAAUAUAAAAAGAUCAAUAAAAAAUGAGGCAUGCUCUAAGGAAUCAAUUCUAAAUGACGUGAAAUCUUAGCAAUGUACAUUUAGUUGAACCUAAAUACAUGAAAACUAUCAUGCAAAUUCAAGCUUCGAACUUGAAGAAAUCCAUAAAAGAAUAAUGUAUUGUGAUUAGCAAAGCACAAUCACAUACAUCUCGAUUGUUCGAUCAAGGAUGAUCCAGUUCUUAAAAAAAAUUACUAUUUAAUAUAAAACUAGAGUUCGUAAAGUAGACUGCCCAAAACCAAGAUGUAGUGAUUGUGUGCAAUCAUAUAAUCGUGACUACACCUAAUCUUGAUGUAACAAUCAUAGCUUAUUACCCCAUCCCGUCCUUAAUAUAAGAAGAAAACCCAAAAAAUUUUAAAACUAAGACAAUCAUUAAUUGUUGUAACUUUUUAAAUAUUUUUACAAAUAUACAAUCAUAAUCUUUUACGUAAUAAAUACACCAUAAAAGUUAUGACUUUUUUUAUAAAUAGAAUCAAUUUUUUUUUGAAAAAUUUCAUACUGGAGGGAGAAAUUUUGUUUAACAAUAAAGGUUAGUUGUUACUCAAAUGUGCACAAGUUGAUCCGAUAAUAACGUGAAAACAACAUACAAGACAUGAAGUUAAAUAUGUAUUUAAAAAGAUAAAAAUAUAAUUAAUGUGUGCACAAAAAUAAUCCCGACGAAUGCCUUUUACCCUUUUGUGACUUCAGUUGGACAUUUUUAUUACUAAAGUAUAAUAGAUAAUUUUUUUGACAAAAGCAUAAUAAUAUAAAUUGAUGACCCUGUUCAAAAAAAAUAUAAAUUGAUGACCUCAACACAAAAUAUUCUUAGGUGUUUUCCUAUAAAUAGUUGUUUCACUCUUUCCAGUGUGUCAAUCAAAAUUCGAUCAAAAUAUGAGCUCUAAAUAUUCAUUAGUAUUACUUUUACUUGGAAUGAUAAUGCUUACCACUGUGAUUGGUGAAAGGAAUAAUAAUAAAUUUGAAUAUGAUCCUAUGUUAGAUCCAGAAGAUUAUUGGCCAGAGAUUUUUCAUGAACCACUACCAUCCCACUAUAAAAUACCUAAAGAGGAGUUACCUGAUUAUGAGACAAACUAGUCAAAUGAAGCCAUCAACCACACCGUUUGAGCCAGUCCACAUUGCAAAAAUUUCUUAUCAUUACAAGUGAUCGAAGUGGCAAAAGUGGGUCUAGUAAAAUAAUAAGAAUAAUUGUUUGUUAUAUGAAGUUUUCUUUUCUUUAUUUUUUUCUUCCUAUUUACCUUUAAAAUUCUAUUUUUUUAAGUAAUGAAGUACAAUUUGCCCCUUUAUUUGAUUAAAGGCUCAAUAAACAUGUAUAUGUAUAAUAAUUACCUCUUAUUUCAGCAUAAAUAAUGUCAACUACUAAAAAUUUUAUCUAUGAUUACAACAAUAAUGCCAAUUUGGUUUGAUAUAUACUCCAUCUAUUUUUCCUCAAAAAAUAUACUCAAUCUAUUUCCAAUUUAAUUGUCAUUUUUAUAAUUUUUCUUUGUCUCAAUAUGACUAAGAGCGGGAGUGGACAUGUGUAGCGUGAUCCCGACAGGGAGGCAUGCUCCAAUGUGGAACGACGCAGGCGAAUUGGCGUGCUCCUUUGAGUGCGAAGCCUUGAGGCUGCGUAAUAUUGCACAUUUGUAGCCGUGUGAGUGGUCUAGAACUGAGCUAUUUUAUUUUUAAAUUCAUCUUCUUUUUCAUGAUAGAGGGCUAAGUGAUUUGGUGUAGUUUCGGAGAAUAUCAUAUCUAUACUAUAUGUAAAGAAAACUACCCCUUUCAGCUCUUUUGGGUUGGAUUUUUCUUUGCGGAAAUGCUCUCAAUUUUCAAUACAAAUAACACAUGUAACAAAUAGAUAAGAAUAGAUUUAAAUAUUUAUACUAUAUAUAAAGAAAACUACCCCUUUUAGCUCUUUUGGGUUGAAUUUUUCUUUCCAAAAAUUCCCUCAAUUUUCAAUACAAAUAACACAUGUAACAAAUAUAUAAAAAUAAAUUUAAAUAUUAAAAUAAAAGUGUAACAAACAUAAAUGUUCAAUUUUUUACUUUAUCAUUUAAAAAGUGUAACAAACUAGAUGAGUGUAUCCAUACUUAUUUUUUCAUUAUCCCAAUUACAUGCCCUUAAACAACAACUUUUUCUAUUCUCUAAAAAAACAACUUUUUCUAUAAUAAAGAUUGUUGUUGGUUUCAUUAAAUAAAUACUCCAUCCGUUCCUUUUUAAGUGUCACUUUUGCAGAAAUUUUUUGUUCCUAUUUAACUGGCACUUUCAAAGUUCAAUGCAACAUUAAAUGUUGUUUUACCAAUAUUAUCCUUAGUUAUUUAUUGCGGAGAGAGAAAUAUAUGAAAUGAGAUAUUAAAUGAAUAAGAUCAUUAUAGUAAAAGUAUAGCUUAUUGCAUUAAAAGGAAUAUCAAUUGUUGAUUGUCUUGAUUUCGUAACUCGCGAAGCGUAUUACGAAAUGUGCAUCACAGGAUCCUGAGGAAUUGACCUAUGUUCAGUCUCGUAUUAACCCCCGUCACGCACUAUGAUAUCAUCCUUUAACGAUAUCAUCAACAUAUAUAUUAUAUCAUCAACAUAUAUAUGAACAAUUAAAAUUUCAUCCUUUAAUAAUUUUCAAAAGAGUGUGAUGUCAACUUGAUCUUGUGAAAACCGUUUUCUAAAAUAAUGUUACUAGGGUCUUUCAUACCAAGCUAUGGCAGCUUGUUCCAGAUUAUACAAUGAAAUCUUCAAACUCAGGAAGUUGUUUCAUACACUUCUUCAGAAAUGAUACCUAUAAAAUACGAACUUAUAAAAUCCACUUGAUAUAGAAUGAUAUCAUUAUUUACAACACAUGAUAAUAAUAGACUAAUUGCUUAUAAUUUUGCUACAUGUGCAAAUGUUUCAGCGAAAUCUAUCUCUUCUUGCUGACUAUUUCCUUGUACUACUAGUCUAGCUUUAAUUUUUACUAUAUCAUUUUGUUUAUUGAGCUUGUUUCUGAAAACCCACUUUAUGACAAUGACAUUAUUACCUUUUGAUCUUGGAACUAUUUCUCAAACAUCAUUUCACUUUGAUAAUUGUGCCCUACAAAAUUCCACUAGUCUUUUUAUGACUUCCGAUCAUAACAAGUAGUAUUUACUAUUUUUACAGAGGCUUUUGUGUCAGNGGGGGGGGGGUGGAUUAAAAGGCGACGAGGUCAUAUCAUAUUCCCUUGAUUGAUUGCUCGAUUUUAAGACAUCUGAUCAAAUUAGUUAGGCCAGUGUCUUGGUAACUGUUAAGAAUCAUGGAAUCAUAGGGAGAAAAGUCAUAGAUGUAAGCGAGAUAGCAAGCAUAAGAGUACUCAUGUGGGAGAUACUCAUAGAAACUCAUUGUAGAAAUGAAUAGAUUGAUAAAAAGAUAUUGAAUGAGUACAAUAGUGUUCCUAUAUAUAAGAGAUUAGUUUGAGUAACUAACUCUAACUAACUUCUAACCAAACUACUAACUCUAGUUUACUUAUCAACUAACUAUAGUUGAUUACAAUUACUCUAGUCUAACUACCUUAACUAACUACACAUAACUUCCAACUAUUUUAACAGUAACUAACACUCUUCAAUAGUUAUGACUCCUUAAUGUCUUAGGUUAGUCUAUAACCAUUGAAGGAUUAGUAACGCCAAAUUAAGCACAUAAAUCAAUAUUAGAAAAUUUCUAAAGCUAAUAACAACUAAACGAUUAAAUUAAAUUAGGUCAAGCCAUUAAAGUCAGGGUUAGUAACCACCAAGACCUAAAUCAAUUUAUAAACAUUUAUAAAUGCAUAAAAAAGCAUUAAGGAUAAACUCAACCAAUAAAAUAAUAAAGUAGACAACUGAAGUCAUAGGAUAAUUUAAAGUUACAAAAUCAAACGAUUACAGAGAAGUUCCUCUUUUAUGACCCAACCCCGAUAGAAUUAGUUACUCGUUAUUUCUAAACAUAAACUACUGCAUAUGAAUAAGAAAGCAUGAGAAAAGGAUCAUCAGUUGAUGAAUCCAUGGCUCUCAAAUGGAUCUGAUCGCUCCUAAUAUACCAAAAUCGUGUUUCUGCCUUCAUAUUCUCAUCAAAAAGUGUUUUUUCACUGACCUAGGUGUUUGCCUUAUAUAGGCACGUAUUUUCCUUAAAAUUAGUGAAAGUUGGCCCGCGAUGUUAGUUAAACAUAGAGUGAACACCUUGCAUGUCAUUUAUAUCUCACGAUGUGGAGGUUAUAGCCUGCAAUACGAGAUAGAUAGUGGUUGAAUCUUACAAAUUCCAUUUUGAUUUUACAAAUGACUUAAAACUUCUAUCUAAUUUCAUAUCAUCAAUGAUCCUCUUAGAAUCUAAUUGAGUUAUUUUAUUUAUGAGUUCUAGUUUAUGCAAUUGAUACCCAUGUACAUUCGAUAAUUCUUGUUAUUUAAUUGUGAUCUUACCAAUAUUGAAUUGAACCUAAGGUAUAAUUCACUACCAGCCCUAAAUUUGUAUCUGGAUAAUGGUUUGUUUUGGUUGUUUGUAUGACUCUAUGUUUGUAAAAUAGUUCUUUUGGCACACCUUGUACUAGAGGAGUUGCUUUUGGUGGUUAAUAUAUAUUCCAUUUUUUAUUGUUCAAAAAAAAGUUAUUGUUCGCUAAGUAAUUGUCUUAGAGAUAUCAUAUCAUUUAGCUGUGACAAAAUUUAGUUGCCGAUCAUGCUUUUGAUGUUAGACACGCGAGACCUGGCUUGAGUCAAAAAAUUGGUUUUGCUAUAUUUUGCUAAAUUGUCGUGAACAUAAUCAAUUGUUACGGCUAGUACCACUAUUACCAAAUCCUAAUCUCUGUUAAUCAUCAGUUGUUUCAUUUAAUUUAGCUAAUUAAGUGGAACAUAAUUGCCAUGGUUUAGAACUGGGGUUAUUGCUUUAGGUUUUUCAAACGGUUUUUAAAGUCUCCUUAUUGGAGAUGCUUUCUCUAAGGAUUCAAUUCUAAAUAACGUGAAAUCUUAGUAAUGUACAUUAGUUCGGCAUUAAAACAUGAUGAAAUUCAUAAAACAUUAACGGAUAAGAUUAGUGUUGUGUAAUCAUUGAGACGAUCCAGAUUUUAAAACCUUACCUUUUAAUCCAAAAUUAGAUUUUAGAUAUAGACCGUCCGAAACCGAGAUGUUGUAAUUGUGUGCAAUCAUAAGAUCAUGACUACACCUAACCCUAAUCUAAUAAACACCAAGAAUGAUAUAUAUAUAUAUAUAUAUAUAUAUAUAUAUAUAUAUAUAUAUAUAUAUAAUACCGUUUUUGCUUAUAAAUAGGAAGCAAGGGAUAAGAUAUGGAUUUUUUUUUUUUGAGGGAGGAUAACAUAUAGAGUUAAACAUGUAUAAAAUGGUAGAAAUGUGCACAAAAAUAAUCACAACAAAUGCACACUACCCUUUUGUGACCUCAUUUGGACCAUUUUUAUUACUAAAGUAUAAAAUAUGAUAAAUAAUUUAAGUUGACGUGCUCAACAUUAAAUAUUCUCAAGGGUUUUCUUAUAAAUAGUUGUCUCACCCUUUCCAUUUGUGUGAAUUAAAAUCUAUAAAAACAUGGCCUCUAAAUACUCACAAGUAUUACUUCUACUUGGAAUGAUGGUUCUUACUACUGUAGUGAGUGAUGGGCAUAAUAGUUUUGGGUAUGCGCCAAUGUUAGAUCCAGAGGAGGAUUGGCCAGACCAAUUCUUUCCACCACUUACCAUAAUUGAGGGUCGAAAGUCGCAUAGUUUUGGAUAUCCACCUAUAUUAGAUCCAGAAGAAGAUUGACCUAAUAACUAAUGAGAAAUCAUUUGUUUAUAAGCCAGUCCACAUUUCAAAGCUGUUGUAAGUACAAUUCUUUAUCAAAUGAAGUGUUUUUUUCUUCCCACUUUUGUAUAAAACUCUAAUUUUUAAGAAGUGAUGUACUAUUUGAAUAAAGGCUCUAUAAAUAUUUCUAUGUAUAUUAUAUCUCAUUUCAGCAACAAUAAUGCCUAUUACUAGUGGUUUUACCUAUGAUUAAUAUUUUGUUAUUGUCUACAAUUUAAUUAUUCAUUAUGUUAUAAAUAAUCAAUAAUUUUUUUUUUGACAAAAAAUAAUCAAUAAUAUUUGAACAUUCAUUAUUUCAAUACACUCAUUCAACAAAAUAUUUUCUUUUUGUCUAUAUUUUACAAUCACAUCAUCGAUAUAUCACCAAAAUAUUAUAUUUAUCUUAUCACAAUAUUUUUUUUUUCAAGAUAUCCUAGUAAGAACGGAUAUCCAAAAACAUUUUUUUAUAUUAAAAACCCAAAGAAAAAGAUCAAUUAGAUAACAUCUGUACGUCACAUGUUCUAGAACUAUAAACAUAAAAAUAUUCAAAUUAGUUAUGUGUAUCUAGAACAAAAGAUCCAUCUCCUUUCCUUAGACCAUCGAUAAGGUAAUCCUACCGUGGAGUAGAAAAUUUGAGGUUAAGUUGUAAUAUCCUGAUUUUUAAUAUUAAUAUGUUAAUAUAAUUAUUGGAUAAUAUUAGUAUUAUUGUCAAUUAUUAGUAUUGAUUGCUCGAUAUUAUGAAAUUAAAUUAUUCGUGAUUAUAGGUGUUAUGAAUAAUGAGGAAGUAGAGGAGUUAACUAGUUUGGUUAAAGAAUGAGAGAAAAUAAUUUUUUGGGAAGAAUAUAGUGUUUUUGGUAAGAAUAAGGAAGUAGAAUGCAAACAGAGGUGCAUUAGUAAAACUGGAUAGAAAAGAGGUGGAAGUUGCAAAGUGAUGGACAAAAUUGGCAAGUACACCAAAUUGUAAUAAGUAGUAAGUUGUAUCGUUCUUCACAAAGAUUGUCGUUCAACUCAAUAUAUAAUUUGCAAAACUUAUUUUAACACGGAAAAUAGUAAUGAUGGUUAGAAUUGCAGGGUUUAAUUGCCCGACCCAAUGCAAGAUUAGGUUUGUGUGAUUCAGAUGUGUAAUGUGAUUAGGGAAUCCGUGAAUCCCAUCUUCCUUCUUUGUUGGAUCAAUUCAAAGUCCUUAUUAAUUAAGACCUAAAAACUACAUAAACAAAGAACAAAGUACUCCCAUGAACAAUUAUGAAUAAAUAAGAAAUAAGUACUCCCAUGAACGAAUAAUUCCAGGUUGUCAAUCAUACUAAUCUUCUAUGAAUCAAUUUUCAAGAUUACCUAUACAGAUUUUCAAUUGAAAAAUAAUUACGAACAGACAAGUACAAAUUAAAUCGGACACCAGAAUAUAACUGAAUGAAAACUUUAUUAGUUGAAUCUAACAAAUAAGAAGGGGUUCAUAGUGGAACCCUAAUCAAGAGGUUUAUUUGCUCAUGGAAACAUACAUCAUAACAACAUAAAAUAAAAACAUACCCUAGGAAGAAUACAAGGAGGAGAAAUUCCUCCUUGAAUCUAUGAUGCUUGACCCUUGCUCUAAACCGCCAAUGUUUCUGAAUGAAUAAAAUAGUGUACAAGGGUCUCUAUUUAUAACGUAAGGUUGCUUAGGAUUUAAGUCGAGAAAGCUAUGAUUUUCUACCGAUCCAUGUAUGCUUGGGUUCUCUGGGUUUAUUUCUGAAGGAAUUUCCCUUCUUUAGUCCCAUGCACUUUGGGUUUUGUUGCUCAGAUUUAUUCAAGACCUUUGGAUUGGAGGAUAAUCUUGAAUACUCUUUGAACUAAAAUUUGAGUCCCGGUUGGCCAUGAAUCUAAAAGUCCUUUGUUUUGACUUAGUUAACACCUUGGAUCUUGACUUUCUUGUCUCUGAUGGGUUUUGAUUCUCUGCUUUUUCAGCAUUUGGAUUUGAGUAAAAGAGCAGACCCUUUUGAGUGCAAACAAAACAGGAUAAUUGAUUUGUCUUCACAAGAGUAUGUGUAUCCUUAACAGACGCACUUGUGAAGUCAAUUUCUCUCCCUUUUUUCUUACUAAUAUUGUGAGAUAUGGAAGCUAAUCUACUUCUAUCAAAAUCAUAAUCACUAGAUACUUCAGAUGAACUGUUGAAUUUAGUUGAAAGUAUGUCGAUUUCAUCUGGGUUAAAAGUUGCCUUAGCAUGAGAUUUUGUCUUGACAGAUAGUGAUUUUGGCGUCUCAAAGGUUUAACUCUUCUGAUAAAAAAUUAAAUUGUUUUUGCAAGUCCUUUAAGGAUCUUGAUUUGUUCAGAUAGAGUCUUAGAAGCCUUUUGACAUAAGGAAUAUACUCAUUACAGAUUUGUUCAUAGAUUACCUCAUCAUCCUCAUCUGAAUAUGAGCUUGGUUCUUCACCAGAAGAUGUUGUAACUACUAAACCCAUAUUAGCUUCCUCUUUGUUGUCCUUAGAGUCUGUAUCUUCAUCAAGCAUCUUCCAGGUUUCCAUGAAGAUUUCCUUGAGCUUUCACUUGUAGGUUUCCGUUUUGAGGUUUCCCUAUGCUGAUUAGCCCUAAUGUGCGUCAGGGAAAUCAGCUAUGAAGUGACCAUUCUUUCCACAGUUGAAGCAUCCUUUUUUAUUAUCUCUUUUGUCUGUGAAGCGGGAUGUCUUUAAGUCACUACUUCUGCUAGGAAAUCUUCUUUUCAUAGUCAAGUAAGUCAUCUCUUAAAAAUCUUCAUUAUCAUCAGAUUCAUCAUUUGAAUCCUUCUAUUCUGAUUUAGUAGUUUGAGGAGAUUUGGUGGUCUUUUCCUUAGAGGUAAAGGAAACAGACUUAGAGAGAUUGUUUGGUUCGUCACCUUCAAGUUCCAUCUCAUGGCUUUAGAGAGAAAAUAUCGGGUUCUCCAAGUCUUUUGCCUCUUGUAUGGUAGUGACUUUUGGCCUUAACCUUGCAAGAAGACUCGUAAGAAUCUUAUUUACAUGGUUUGGUGCAACAUAUCUUUUUUUUGGACCUUGAAGUCCAAAGAAAAGAGUUUGAAACCUUGAAUACAUGGUUUCAAUAUCUUGAUCCUCUUUCAUCUUGAAAAGCUCAAACUGGUAAACCAGCUGGUUUGCCAUAGCUUCCUUUACCUGCUGAUUUCCUUCGUAGGUAGAGUACAAUGAUUCAAAGAUGGACUUUCCAGUAGAUCUAUCCCCAAUCUUCGUGUAUUCAGUAUGAGGUAAAACUUCCACCAGAAUCCCUCUCACUCUAUGGUGCUUUUUAUAGAUCUUCUUUUGAGUGGCAGUCGACUUCUUCCUGUCUGUUAACAUUCCUUCUUCUUUAGCCUCAAAGCCAAGUCAAUCUUCAAUAACAUUCCAGAGUUCAUCAUUAAUCCCUAUGAUCUACCUAUAGAUUUUCCUCUUCCACCAAGACAACUGAGAGCAUCUCCAUUAAAAAAUGAAGGAUUAGCAGAAUAACUGUUCUUCUUAAUGGUGGAGAUGUUGUUGAUAUCAAGCUUGAAAGUUUCACUGAUCGAAGUCACGUCUUUCUCACUAGUUCUUUUUAUGUGGCACGGUUAGGUGACAGAGCACAUAACAGGCUCUAAUACAAACUAAAGGUGAGAAACACACAUAGGAAGGGGGGGUUGAAUUGUGGCCUUUUUGACGGUUUCUUUUUCUAAGCGUUUAAUACAGUCUUGGACAGAAUCUGAUGUUGCAGAUUCUGACUCAGAGUCUGCUUGUAGCAGAAAUACAGAACACACAGAUAAAAGAUAAAUAGUCCGAGAGAGAUAAGACAAACACAAGGCAAUUUAUAUUGGUUCCUCCCACAAAACAAGAGUAGUCUAGUUCCCUUGCACUUCUUAGGGAUUUCACUAUAAUCACUUAGAUUACAACUUGCUCAAGGAUACACCAAGAGACUUCUCAAUGCUCAAGCACACAGCAAGAGACUUCUAUGCUCUAGGACUCUAUCUAAAGACUACUUUUCUCAAGCACACUUGCAAGAGACUUCCCAAUGCUUAAGCACAACUGCUUAAGACUUUACCACUCUCAAUCACAACUAACUGACACUUUCUAGGUGCUCAAGGUUUCACUAGGAGACUUAUAUGCUCAAGCACGUAAGCAAAAGACUUUCUCAAAUAUUUGCCCCAACUACAAACAAUUUAACUUAUUCUUACACUUUUUCUAACUAGUAAGUCUAAACUGAACAAUAGUAGUGAUUUGAGAGACGUUGGAGAGGAGUGCCAACACAAAUAGAGUCAUUGACAAGCUUUGAUCAUGAACGUUGGCCUUUUGCCUGAUAUGAAUAAUCCCAAUGAAAAGUCCUUUGAAUUUCCUUUGCUAUUCGUUGUUAUCUUCGUUCCUAGUGUCCUUUGUCUGGUUGAACACGUUUAUGGAAGAAGACAAAAGAACUGCUAUAUCAGAUGCUAUGAUAGAGAUAACUCACAAAAUAAUAAAAUAGCUUAUGUGGAUUAUGGGUCCCUUAGAUCCAAGUAGCCAGUCAAAUUUUGUGUUUGAUGUCCUUCACAUGAUCUAUGGAGAUCACCCACUAGCUUAUGUGAGACUUCCUUCUUCUAAGGACGUGUACUUCUGGUUGAACUUCCAGUAGAUCUUCCACCAUAGUCUUAUAAGCUUCUCAAUCCCUUUAUGAUGCUAUUCAUAUGUUCCUUCUUCAAGGUAAGUAGAUCCUGCACACUUGAACAUAUGUUAGUAUUCCAAUUGUUCUUCAAUACUUUGUUAUCAUCAAAACCCAAGAGAAUUUAUUUGAACCAUUCUUGGUCUAACAAAGGAUUGCGUUAUUUCUGCUUGACUACUACGUUUGUGAUUAGCUUAUGUUAGGGGGGUUGCAGUUGUCAAUUAGUGUUUUUGAAGUGACAUAAAAGAGAGAGAUUAAAAGGCGACUAUGUCAAAUGAUAUUACCUUCUCUAAAAUUGUAUAGUAACUACAAGUUAUGAAUACAUUUUGGAUUGAUUCCUCGGUUUUAAUACAUUGAUGAAAGUAGUUAGGCAAUGUCUUGGUCAAUAACAAUCUUCAAUAGUUAUGACUUCCUAAUGUCUUAGGUUAGUCCAUAACCAUAGCAUGUUUAAUAACAUCAAAUUAAGUACACAAAUCUUUAUUACAAAAUAUAUAAAUUUAAUAACAACUGAACUAUUAAAUAUGUAUAAAAUGGUAGAAAUGUCAUUUCUGCGUGCACAAAAAUAAUCCCAAGAAAUGCAUAGUACCCUUUAGUGACCUUAUUUGGACAUUUUUAUUACUAAAGUAUAAAAUAUGAUAAAUAAUUUAAGUUGACGUGCUCAACACAAUAUUCUCAUAUUUGUUUUUUUUCUUAUAAAUAGAUGUCUCACUCUUUCCAUUUGUGUGAAUCAAAUUCCAUAAUAACAUGGCCUCUAAAUACUCACUAGUAUUACUUCUACUUGGAAUGAUGGUACUUACCACAGUAGUGAGUGAUAGGAGGCCAGACCUUUUCUUUGGGUAUGUGCCUGUAUUAGAUCUAGAAGAGGAUUGGCCAGACCUUUUCUUUCCACCAUCUACCAUUAUAGUGGGUGGAAAGCCAAAUAGUUUUAGAUAUCCGCCUAUAUUAGAUCCAGAAGAAGAUUAACCUAAUAACUAAUGAGAAAUAAUUUGUUUAUGAGCCUGUCCACAUUUCAAAGCUAUUAUAAGUACAAUUCUUUAUCAUAUGAAGUGUUUUUUUCUUCCCAUUUUUGUAUAAAACUCUAAUUUUUAAGAAGUGCUGUACUAUUUGAUAUUAUAAAACUCGAAUAAAGGCUCUAUAAAUAUGUCUAUGUAUAUUACAUCUCAUUUCAGCAAUAACAGUGCCUAUUACCACUGGUUUUACCUAUGAUUAAUAUUUUGUUAUUGUCUACAAUUUAAUUAUUCAUGAUAUGACAAAUAAUCGAUGAUAUUUGAUCAUUCGUCAUUACAAUAUACUUAUUCAACAUAAUAUUAUCUUUUUAGGAUUAAUAGUGUUUUUCUUCCGUAAUAUAAGUUAUUUUUGGUUUUUCCCCUGUAGUUUUUUUUUAUUUUAAUUUCAACCUUGUAAUUUGUAGAUUUUUUGUUGUAAUUUGAGCAAAUUUAGGUUUACCCCCUUGUAAUUUGAGCAAAUUUCGGUUUACCCUCUGUCAUAUCUUCAAUUUUGUACAGUCAAAAUUCAUGAAAGUCCAAAACCAAAAAUCUUCAAAUUACAAGGACAAAAUCCAAAAAAAAUAAUUUUAGAAGGGAUAAAACAUGAAAUGACCUAUAUUAUAAGGGGUAAAAUACUAUUAUAUUCACAAAGAUAUUAUAUUUAUAUUUUACAAUCACGUCAUUGAUAUAUCACAAAAAUAUUAUAUUAAUCUUAU